AAAAAAAAAAUACAAUUUGGCAUGCCAUUUCCACUUGAGAGCAUAUAUUAUAAGAGAGAAUGAUACAAAAUAUAAGACUAGUAUUUGCCUGCCUGACUGAUGGUUGGUACUUGCUAAUUGGUAAUCAAGGGAAAGAAAAGAAGCUUUUGGAUUUGGAUUUGGAUUUGGAUUUGAGAUAGAUAGGGUUGUCGUCAUGGGUGCUUUCCUUUCCAGCUAAUUAAAAUUCCAUUAUUCAAAGCCUUCCCUUCCCUUUCCUUCGUUUUUGUUCUUUCUUUCUUUCUUUCUAAACUUGCAGACUUUGCUCUCUCAUUUCAUUUUCUGUUUCUUCUCAACGUUGUCCUUGAUGUUCAUCAUGUUCAUGACGGAGGAUGUGGAAGUGGAACCCUGAAAGAACAGGGUAUCAUCGUAAUUUCAGUCUCCAUAGACAUAAUUGCUGCUUUCUUUCUGUUCCCUCCCUCUACUUUAUAAUUUAUAAAAGGGCAUCCCAUUCCCACAAGCAUAGGCAGUAGGCAAUAAGCAAGCCUCAUUUUUUAUGCUUUACUUUUUAGGUUGGUUUGUUGAGAGUCUUCUCCUUCUGGUGGGAGGAGUUGGAAUCCAACUUCACCGGCCUUCAUUUGUAACAGAUAGUGCGCGUACGGACGUUGCCAAAUUCAUACUUUGUCGCAUUUUUUGAGAAUUGAGAUUGGAACUGCAAAAUGAGAUAAUUUGGAACGCAGGCAGGCAGGCACAUAGAUAGAUAGAUAAUAUAUAUAUAUAUAUAUAUAUAUAUAUUUAUAUUUGAUGAGGUUUGCGUCUUGCAAGAUUCAUUGUCCUCCCUUGAUUUGCUUUUGCAAGCCUAAUUCCCCUCACAUAUACACUCCUGGAUCAGCUCGAAUUACAGAAUUCCCCAACUCCACCUCCACCUCCACCUUUGCCUAAUUCAAAACUUGCAUCAGUUCCUGAGACAUCUGAUCACUUGGCUGAUGAAGAAAUCAUCAAGGAGGAAAAGUUAUUAGGUAAUGCGAAUCCACAACCAUCUACUGCUCAGCCUAGUCUCAAAAGUAGUCUCCGAAAACCCAAUUCGGACUCCAGUGCUCCAAAACAGGAGGAACUAAAGAAGACAGUGCAGUGGAUAGACAUUUUAGGGAAGCAGCUUGUUGACAUCAGGGAAUUUCAGUGCAGUGAACUAGAAGAUACAGACAAUGAAAACGAGAACAGAAGAGGCUGUGUUUGCAUUAUUUUAUGAAACUUCUCGAUUAGCGUCCGCUCUGCAAAUUCCAAAGGAAAUCACAGCAAUUCCAGGAGAGAAAGAAAGGAAAAUUCAUGUUCUUCAUGCGAUGAGUCUAAAAUUGAAUGGCACUCAGGUGUUUGAAAUUCAGUUUUAGUCCAUUUCACGUUACCAAAUUACAGCGUAGCUGCAGCUCUCACAGGACUGUUUUAUGCACUCAAGAGAGUCACUUUUCGUUUAUGAGAAUGUUAACAACAUUGCAUUCUUUUGAUUAUGAAACUUCUCACAAGUUCAGACACAGGAUCGGGAACAGACCAAUCAUCCAUUCAUGCGCAGCCGUUACUUUGUAAUCGCCGGGGCUUACAUAGAUCCAGGGGCCAGGAACACCGUAUUUAUACUUGAUAAAGUUGUUUUUUCAUUUAGAUGGUUAAUGCUUCAGCGGAGGUGCCCUGAAAAAUGAUUAAGAUGCAAUAAUAUUUGUAAACACAAAAGCAAUCGACACUCCUGUCAUUAGAUUAUGUAUACGAAACUUUUUGUUACCCUUU